GAUGAAGAACGUAGCGAAAUGCGAUACUUGGUGUGAAUUGCAGAAUCCCGUGAACCAUCGAGUCUUUGAACGCAAGUUGCGCCCGAAGCCAUUAGGCCGAGGGCACGCCUGCCUGGGCGUCACACGUCGUUGCCCCCCCAUCUACUCCUUCGGGAUUGCGGGGGGCGGAUGAUGGCCUCUCGUGCGCCUCGUCGCGCGGUUGGCCUAAAUGCCAAGUCCUCGGCGACGCACGCCACAACAAUCGGUGGUUGCGAAACCUCGGUUGCCUGUCGUGUGCGGUCGUCGCGCAUCGAGGGCUCGAAAAAAUUGCCGGGCUUCGGCUCGACUUUCAACGCGACCCCAGGUCAGGCGGGGUUACCCGCUGAAUUUAAGCAUAUCAAUAAGCGGAGGA
rnacentral:misc_RNA from 1 species